UACGUAGGGGGCUAGCGUUAUCCGGAAUUACUGGGCGUAAAGGGUGCGUAGGUGGUUUUUUAAGUCAGAGGUGAAAGGCUACGGCUCAACCGUAGUAAGCCUUUGAAACUGGGAAACUUGAGUGCAGGAGAGGAGAGUGGAAUUCCUAGUGUAGCGGUGAAAUGCGUAGAUAUUAGGAGGAACACCAGUUGCGAAGGCGGCUCUCUGGACUGUAACUGACACUGAGGCACGAAAGCGUGGGGAGCAAACAGG
rnacentral:rRNA from 1 species